GCUUAGAAGCAGCCACUCAUUAAAAGAGUGCGUAAUAGCUCACUGGUCGAGUGACUCUGCGCCGAAAAUUUAACGGGGCUAAACUAUACACCGAAGCUUGGGAUACAUCUAAUGUAUGGUAGGAGAGCGUUCUGUAUGGGGAGAAGUCGUAGCGAAAGCGGCGGUGGACUAUACAGAAGUGAGAAUGCCGGAAUAAGUAGCGAGAAUUAAGUGAGAAUCUUAAUGGCCGAAAGUCUAAGGUUUUUGGAGGAAGGUUCGUCCGCUCCAAGUAAGUCGGGAGCUAAGGUCAGGCCGAAAGGCGUAGCCGAUGCACAUACGGUUGAUAUUCCGUAACCAUCUGUAAUUUAAGCAAAGGGACACUUCAAAAGGGUGUGACCCGGGCGUUGGUUGACCCGGGCGUAAGGGACCGAAAUUAGAGUAGGGAAGCACACUUAGCUGAAGGCGAGAAAAGCUUUGCGUAUAGAAACAGAUGCCCGUACCGCAAACCGACACAGGUGGACAGGAAGAGAAUUCUAAGGCCAGCGGGAGAAGGGUAGUUAAGGAACUCGGCAAAUUGACUCCGUAACUUCGGAAUAAGGAGUGCUCGAAAGAGCCGCAGAGAAUAGGCCCAGGCGACUGUUUAGCAAAAACACAGGUCUCUGCCAAAUCGAAAGAUGAAGUAUAGGGGCUGACACCUGCCCGGUGCCGGAAGGUUAAGAGGAGGAGUGAGAGCUCCGAAUUGAAGCCCCGGUAAACGGCGGCCGUAACUAUAACGGUCCUAAGGUAGCGAAAUUCCUUGUCGGGUAAGUUCCGACCCGCACGAAUGGUGUAACGAUCUGGGCACUGUCUCAACUACCCACCCGGCGAAAUUGUAGUACCGGUGAAGAUGCCGGUUACCUGCGGCAAGACGGAAAGACCCCAUGGAGCUUUACUGUAGCCUGAUAUUGGGUUUCGGAAAUCUAUGUACAGGAUAGGCGGGAGACUGGGAAACAUGAGCGUCAGCUUGUGUGGAGUCGAUGUUGGGAUACCGCCCUUAGGUUUCUGGAAUUCUAACCUGCGGCCGUGAAUCCGGUCGGGGGACAUUGUCAGGUGGGCAGUUUGACUGGGGCGGUCGCCUCCGAAAAGGUAACGGAGGCGCUCAAAGGUUAGCUCAGCACGGACGGAAACCGUGCCUCUGAGUGUAAACGCAAAAGCUAGCCUAACUGCGAGGGUGACGGCCCGAGCAGUAACGAAAGUUGGAGUUAGUGAUCCGGCGGUAUGUGAAUGGAAAUGCCGUCGCUCAACGGAUAAAAGCUACCCUGGGGAUAACAGGCUGAUCUCCCCCAAGAGUCCACAUCGACGGGGAGGUU
rnacentral:rRNA from 1 species